CCUCCACUCCCCAGAUGGACGGUCUCUGGGGCUGACGUGAACAAGAAGCCCCUCACUGCGGUGACGCCUCAGAAAGUCAGCACGCAGUGCCCAGGUCCGCAGUGAUGUCCUUCUGUACAAGUGACCACAGGACGCCGCACGGGGCUGGGCGUGGAGCCGCAGGGUUUACCUGCUUCCUGAGAGAGUUCCCUAAGAGCAAGAGCAAGAAGCUGGAGCACCACACAGCGUACAUGCCACCGGGGUUGGAGCUGCUGUGCCCAGGAGCUGUGUGCCACCAGUUCUGGCCGUGCCUGCGCUUGGUUAGGGACAAGGAGUCCCAGUGCGCACUCUGCAGGGGACCCCCAGCCCCAUUCACCCAGGAGCCCAGCUUUCAAGGGGUUAGUAAAACUGGAAAUGCUGCUGGGUUGAAGUCCAGUGUCUGGAUAGAACCCCGGCUCAGGGGACCUUGAACUGCCAGCUGGGUCGGCCACUUCCUGUUCUCCAAGCUGGAUAAGCAGCUCAGGACAAGCAGAUGGCCAUUAGUGCUGCAGGCGGUCUCCUCCGCCUCUCACCAUCAUCAGAGUAACAGAAGGAAAAAAGGCCACCAGGAUGGCUGGACCUGCACAGGCUCCAAGCCACAGCAAUAACCCGGUGAACAAGCAUUUCAGCCAGUGAUUUAAAGGAUUUUGCUUUUUACUGUAGCUGAGCAGAGAGGCCCACUUUGAGGUCUGACUCGGCAUCACUGGCCACACUCCUCACCUGUGUCUCCCCACAGCGACUCUCCCCAGUCACCUCUGCAUAGCUCUGGGCACUGGGAAAGCAACAGCUGCUCUCUCUCUUCCUCUCCGCUACACUGGUGGCCGGCAGAGCAGACAGAUUGUCUGCACCAGGGCAUUACCUCAAAUUCAUUUAAGUUUUUUUUUUUCUUUUUACCUCCAGGGUUAUCACUGGAGCUUGGUGCUGACACUACAAACCCACCACUCCCGGUGGCUGUUUUUUCCUUUGUUUUAUUUGAUAGGACAGAGAGAAAUUGAGAGGGAACAUGAAGCUUCCCCAUGCGGGGGGGAUCCAGGGCUUGAACCCAGGUCCUUGCACAAGGUUGACUUGUGCACUUAAGUGGCUGUGACACCACCCAGCCCCCACCUUGAAUUUAUUUGGAACUGUGUUGCUGACUUUACUGAAUCCACGAACCUUGUGGCUUGAGGACUGGGUGGUCCCUCCCUCCACCAGUACUGCCGUCCUGUCCCAAGCUGCCCUCCCUCCCUUCCACCCUGUAAAACCCUGAAGCCCCAAAACCCCAGCCUGGGAGUGAGGUGCUGUUGGAGAUGUGAGUCUGCCGUCUCCUCAGAGUCUCUGCACCCGAGGCCCAUUUUUCUCGUCCUCCCCCGUCUGUGAGUACUGACUGACUUCCAGUGGAGACCACUGAGCCCUGUGGAAGGGGCAGCUCUGGCACGAGGCCUCAGGUGCAAGAAUCCUGUGCCCCGAUCCCCCCUCAGAGAACCUUAGCUGUUCCUGCUGCAAGGAGGGGUUCUGCAGGCAGAGCUUGGAGCAGUGUGCAAUGUCCUGAGUUUGAGUCCAGCUACUGCCGAGACUGUGUGAUACUCUGGUUCUUUCACUUCCACGAAUAAAUCUGU